GUGGAUGGCUCAGUGGUUAAGAGCACUGACUGCUCUUCCAGAGAAUCCUGAGUUCAAUUCCCAGCAACCACA
rnacentral:tRNA from 1 species